GACGAACGCUGGCGGCGUGCUUAACACAUGCAAGUCGAACGGAAAGGCCCUGCUUUUGUGGGGUGCUCGAGUGGCGAACGGGUGAGUAACACGUGAGUAACCUGCCCUUGACUUUGGGAUAACUUCAGGAAACUGGGGCUACUACCGGUUAGGAGCUCCUGCUGCAUGGUGGGGGUUGGGAAGUUUCGGCGGUUGGGGAUGGACUCGCGGCUUAUCAGCCUGCUGGUGGGGUAGUGGCUUAGCAAGGCGUUGACGGGUAGCCGGCCUGAGAGGGUGACCGGCCACAUUGGGACUGAGAUACCGCCCAGACGCCUACGGGAGGCAGCAGUGGGGAAUAUUGCACAAUGGGCGGAAGCCUGAUGCAGCAACGCCGCGUGCGGGAUGACGGCCUUCGGGUUGUAAACCGCUUUCGCCUGGGACGAAGCGGGAGUGACGGUAAUGGGUAAAGAAGCACCGGCUAACUACGUG
rnacentral:rRNA from 1 species